rnacentral:rRNA from 1 species
AGUGAACGCUGGCGGCGUGCCUAAUACAUGCAAGUCGAACGGAGUGGCGCACGGGUGAGUAAGGAAUAGCUAAUCUGACCUACACUAGAGGACAACAGGUGGAAACGGAUGUUAAUACUCCAUAGUGUAGGAUGAGGCUAUACUGUAUCAGUUAGUUGGUGAGGUAAUGGCUCACCAAGGCUAUGACGCAUAACUGGUUGGAGAGGAUGAUCAGUAGCACGUGAACUGAGACACGGGCCAGACUCCUACGGUAGGCAGCAGUAGUGAAUAGUGCUCAAUGGGGGAAACCCUGAAGCAGCAACGCCGCGUGGAGUAUGACACUUUUCGGAGCGUAAACUCCUUUUGUUAGGGAAGCGGUACCUAACGAAUAAGCACCGGCUAACUCCGUGCCAGCAGCCGCGGUAAUAC